rnacentral:rRNA from 1 species
AUGCUCGUCGGCCUCCGCCGCCGCAUUGUCCCUCCCGUGCUUGAGCAGCCAAGAUCUGACCAUGCUGAGCUCCCCGCCGCCCACCCAUUGCCGCCUCCGCGGCUGCCAUCAGCACCCUGCCCAGGUCCAUGGCCAGCCAGCUAUGACCAGCUCUCCUGCUCCCGACGCGCUACUAUACUAGUGCUGGUGGUGGCUGUGGUCAUGGGGCGGGUCGGCGAGGGAGUGAAGCGUUGGGGGAAGAAGGCAUGUCUCUUCUGGCGUGGGGUGGGGUGGGGCGAGGGAGAAAUCCAGCGGAACCCCCUGGUUUAG